UUAAAAACCAAGAAAUCUGGGGACUCACAUAUCCUUGAGCACACCAGUGUGGUUGAGAAUGAUCUCAAACUCGGAUUCUCUUGGUUCUGUCUCCUGAGCGCUGGAAUUAUGACAUGUUUUAAGGAAUGGAACUGAAGGCUUCAGGCAUGCUAAGCACAGUCUACCAACUGUCCUCAUCCGUGUUACAGAGUUUCCCCAAGGACAAAGUGAAAAUAUACAUGGAGUUACAAAUAAGAGGACUAACAUAAAUUAACUCCAUCAUUUUAAAUCCAUCUUCUUCCUUUACAAGCGUCAGAGGAUACAAGAAUCUAUUGGGAAUUCCUCAAUAACAGGGAAUCCAAUAGACUUGCCAGUGACAGUUGUUACUCAGAAUCCUGAAAUCCCAUGCAAGAUAGAGAGCCCAGAGACACAUCCGUCAUUUCCUAGCCAUUAGGAUGAAAGCCAAAUGUCCAAACUGCUGAAAAGGAAGACACAAAGAUAUUGAUGACCUCACGAGGAUGCGCCACAGGAAUAUGAACUCUGACUAAGACAAAUUGGACUGAAGGGGUCAUGCAAAGGAGUUGAAGCUUGGCACCAUGAAGAGAGCCUAUGAGAGGCUAUUGGUAAAGCCUAGCUGCAGCAGAAGACAGCAGUGAUUUGGAGACACCAGUACCAUGAAAUGACCAUCAAGAACAGCAGCAACACUGGAAUACAGGCAGCUGGAGCCUAGAAGACAAGGUGUGUGCUACAAAGGGCAGAGCUGGAGAAGUGACCCAAGCCCUUCCUAGAAGAUCGUGAGUGGAUCCCAGACGUUGGACAGUUAGAGUUUGAUUUUGCUUUUGAUUGUGACUGUGCCCUGAUAUUUUUCCCUCUUGAAGGAAGAAAGUAUUUUAGUGGAACCCAUAGUUAAGAGAUGUUGAACGGUAAAAAGACUUUGAGUUUUAUGAGAGAUUGGAUAUUUUAAAGGGAUUGAAAUUUUACUAUGUAAGGAUUUGUAAAGACUGUGGAACUCUUAAAGUUAUUUAGAUCUUGGGGAUGAAUUAGAAAGUAAGGGUUGAAGCUUAACAGUGAUGUGUCUGUGUGUCAAGUUGACAAGGUUCAAUUGUACUGGCUGGUUUUAUGUGUCAACUUGACACAAGCUGAAGUUAUCACAGAAAAGGAGCCUCAGCUGAGGAAAUGCCUCCAUGAGACCUAGCUGUAAGGCAUUUUCUCAACUAGUGUUCAAGGGUUGGAGGACCCAGUCCAUUGUGGAUGGUGCCGUCCCUGGGCUGGUAGUCUUGGGUUCUAUUAGAGAGCAAGCUGAGCAAGCCAGUAAGUUAACAUCCCUCCAUGGCCUCUGCAUCAGCUCCUGCUUCCUGACCUGCUUGAGUUCCAGUCAGCAAUGUGGAAGCAUAAGCUGAAUAAACCCUUUCCUCCCCAACUUGCUUCUAGGUCAUGAUGUUUGUACAGGAAUAGAAAUCCUGACUAAGACAGCCAUUAUGUUUUUCAUUAAAAGGCAUGAAAUGCAAACAAAUUACAAAUUAAUAUUUUAGAGGCUUGAGACCAUAGAUGAUCAAACUGAUGACCUCAAUCCAACUGAAAGAACAGACUGCCUGUCAGUUAUUCUGAGCUAAAUUGCUAAUAGGUGGCCAUGGAAUCAGACAGAUGGCCACACAUGUCCGAAGGGGCCUGUAUCACAUGAUGUCACAGGAAUGGCUUAAGUGUUCGCCAUUCUUUCAUAAUAAGAUUUGGGUAACCCUCAUUUUAUAAAUAUUGAGAUUUGUCUGAUGUUUGGGUGCAAGAAGGAAUUACUUAGCAUUUACAUGUUGUUAGCCUCAAUUCUUGUCACAGGUCCCCCAUUAUCACAGGUGUAUCCAGGCCCCGUGUGAUCAUGAACUAUAGCCGUGCUUUUGACUACUUUAUUGGGUUCUUUUAUCUACCACCCUUCUCCACCUCAAUCCCUUCCAACCUCCAACACUAGGUAAAGAAGGUCAGAUGGGAAAGGGGACAGAGAUCUCUUUAGACUGUUUCCUGCUGAUUAGGGGACAUCCAGUUCCUAGGGAUAAGUCCAAUCUUCGUCGUUAGGAUAUCGCUAAUCUGUAAUAGCAGCAGCAAAAUCAGCAAAACAGACAAUGCAACAGCAGGAGCCACUAGCACUAGCAGGGACCAGCAGGGACCAGCAGGGACCAGCAGGGACCAGCAGGGACCAGCAGGGACCAGCAGGGACCAGCAGCCUCAGCCUCUCUCAGUCAGGGAUCUGGCCUUUUCAUACCUUCUCAAGAGCCCCCAGAAUUCCAAACAUAACUACCUUCAGCUGGCAGACUCACCCCGUGCCAGAGCACAAGACAAAUCACAGUUACUUUCUGUGGACAAUCUGAAGCAUCCCCAUAUCCCACACACCUUCCCAUGAUAUAAUAGGCUUUUUAAAAGAAACCAACAUUCUCGGUACAGUGAGCCAAAGUGCAAGGCAAGCGGCCUGCAGCCAGUCUCAGAGAAGCAAUCAUCCGUAUCACACAUAGGUAACUAUAAACACGCACACACGAUAACUGAGCAUGUAUCUGCAGAUCUUGGACCUCACAGCUAGGUCUGCAAAAUGCUUCAGUAGAAAGCUUUGGGACAUUUGCAUGAAACAGACUGUGUGUCGAUGUGAAGAAACUUGGUAUAGCUUGUUCCCGUUCCAACCCUGGACGAUGGGGACAAGGGAUAGCCUGAGGAAUGGCCUGCCACCCAAAGGAUGACCCAUGAGUGGCUUGAGAGGCCAUGGAUGGGCUCUUUAUAUGCCUCAUUGCAUAUUAUAUUUAUUUACU